UACGUAGGGUGCGAGCGUUGUCCGGAAUUACUGGGCGUAAAGAGCUCGUAGGUGGUUUGUCGCGUUGUUCGUGAAAACUCACAGCUCAACUGUGGGCGUGCGGGCGAUACGGGCAGACUGGAGUACUGCAGGGGAGACUGGAAUUCCUGGUGUAGCGGUGGAAUGCGCAGAUAUCAGGAGGAACACCGGUGGCGAAGGCGGCACCCUGGACCGGUAUUGACGCUGAGGAGCGAAAGCCAGGGGAGCAAACGGG
rnacentral:rRNA from 1 species